rnacentral:rRNA from 1 species
UACGUAGGUGGCAAGCGUUGUCCGGAUUUACUGGGCGUAAAGGGAGCGUAGGCGGACUUUUAAGUGAGAUGUGAAAUACCCGGGCUCAACUUGGGUGCUGCAUUUCAAACUGGAAGUCUAGAGUGCAGGAGAGGAGAAUGGAAUUCCUAGUGUAGCGGUGAAAUGCGUAGAGAUUAGGAAGAACACCAGUGGCGAAGGCGAUUCUCUGGACUGUAACUGACGCUGAGGCUCGAAAGCAUGGGUAGCAAACAGGAUUAGAUA